rnacentral:rRNA from 1 species
UACGUAGGGCGCAAGCGUUGUCCGGAAUUAUUGGGCGUAAAGAGCUCGUAGGCGGUUUGUCGCGUCUGCUGUGAAAACCUAAGGCUCAACCUUGGGCUUGCAGUGGGUACGGGCAGACUAGAGUGCGGUAGGGGUGACUGGAAUUCCUGGUGUAGCGGUGGAAUGCGCAGAUAUCAGGAGGAACACCGAUGGCGAAGGCAGGUCACUGGGCCGGUACUGACGCUGAGACGCGAAAGCGUGGGGAGCAAACAGG